AAGACCCUCCAUGCUCCUCCGAGGGACAGCUCCAUUGGGGACAACAUCCUUUGGGGGCCACAGAGUGGCUGACAAAGGGUACCGUGAGAAUCCCAUUCUGAGGACAGGGGACUAAAAGACUCAUAAAGAUGUUGAUUUUGAGGUGCACACCCUGAAACUACUACCAUAGUACCUCUUGCCUUCUCAGCUGUGCUUCUUGGUAAGGCCAGGGCAGAGAGACCACAGGCACUGAAGGGACAUGGAGCACAGUAGGGGUGUGCAGAGCAAGUGCCUGUCCCCUCUUCCCUUUGUGAACAGUGCUGGGAGUGUGGUGGUGGUGGUGGUGGGGACCUUCACUGUGAGGUACAGCAGAAAUGAGGCCUUCUGUCCUUUGAUGUCUGCAGAAGAGACUGGAAGGUGUCACUUCAAAGGAAUGCUUGUGGGAACAAGCCAGCAGCGCUCCUUGAGGCCCCAGACCCUACCUUUGCUCUGAGGCAGUCACCUGAGAAACUACAACCAAAACCUGUCUGCACGGGGUGGGGGUGGGAGGAGGUGGGAGAGAGUGGGAGCGGUGUUGUACAGCACAGUCACACACACACACACACACACACACACACACACACACACACACCACUCGCAUGUGAUGCACGCACAAUAGACUGAUGUUCUUAGGCUCUGGGAAGGACUAUCUCCAGCAGCUGGAAGCCCCUACCAUAGUAUCCAACAGGCCUCCACCCCACCCCCCAGCCGCCCUCGAGCCAAUGUCUUUCCCCUGAAAGAGCAGCUGGGGCUUUGUUUUUCUCUGGAGGCCACCAGGCACAAUCAGUUGCUACAGAGUGAGGCAGGGACAGGUGCCAACACAGCAGCGGGCACUUGGUAGGCUCAUCUGCACCUGCUGGACCAGAGGGUGAGAAACCUUUCAGAACCAAGCAGGCAAACGGACUUCUGGCAUUCACGGAGGGUGGCAUCAGGCCAGCGUUCUUUGAGUGUUAAAGUCAAUUUAACUGCAGAGGCUGGGCUGUUUAAACCAUUUUGACAAAUGCAGAUGUAGUAGGUGGUUAAUAGAGCUUAGAGCUGUUGCUAUUUCCUCCCUGGGACAUCACUCUGGGGAAAAGUCAGAUAUCAGAGGUACAGCCAGGGGCUGAUGGAGGGUAUGGGGUACGACGUCAGUGGCAGAAAGGCAUUCCUCACUAUCCUGGAGGCUAAAUGCUCAUGGUCUGGCCUAGCUCUGGGUCUGGUCCCUGGCGAGAGCUCUUCUUCCUUGCUUUUGACUGGGUCUGCCCAUGGCAGAGAGAAAACGAAGUUUUCUGAUUCCUUCUGAUGGGGACAGUCAACUGUCUGGGUCAGACAGUUAGUAUUUCAUUUUACCUUAAUUGACCCCCUAAGAUCCCAGGGUUGGGGUUUCAGUGUCUGAAUUUAAGUGGGAGCAUCCAGUCCACAAGGCUUUUACUCUGUGAACUUGAUUAGAACAUGUGUGUUUCCUCUAGUUCCUCCACUUGAAUACACCCAGCUCUGAGCUCAGAACUUUUUACAAAGACAUGCUAGCCCCGUUGUCCCUAGGCAUCCCUCUAGCUCCGGGAAUCAUGGAUGGAUUCUGGCGAGAGAGGCUCCUCAAGACCUACAGAGAUGGCCCAGCAGUUAAGAGCACUUGAUGCUCUUCCAGAAGACCUGGGUUCCAUUCCCAGUGACUACAUGGUGGAUCACAGCAGUCUGGAAGUCUCGUCUGAGGUGAUCUAGUGCCCUCUUCUGGCCUUUUCAGGAACUGCGUGAGCACGAUGCAAAGCACCCAGACACCUAUAACAAAAUGAAAUAAAGAAAUAAGAGAAUGCCCUUAAUAGGGGGGAUGGAAGCCACAGAUUCAGUACCUAAGAACCAGGCCUAUGAAUGUAGGCUCCCAUGUUACAUGGACAUGAGGCUUUCUCCUACAGUUCCCUCACUGCUGCAAACUGCCCCUCCCACCAGCUCUGGUAUCUCUUCCAGAGAGCUCAUACCAAAAUCAUGCUCCGGAGCCUAGCCACCUUCCCUGAACCACUGCCGUGCCUUCCCGUCACAGAUCCUGUGGCCAUUCCUCCAUCUAGACCUGGGGCUCCAAAGCCUGGCUUUCCUUCAAGGCAGGGUGAAACCUGGACAUGUUCUUAGCAUCCAUCCUUGUAAUCAUGAUCCCAGCGAAGAUAAUAGACCCAUGGUGUCAGGAGGACAUGGGGAAGCUCCAGCAUCUUCCAUUGAAAUCAACAGGCAUUUGUGCUUCCUGGGCAAAUGCCACAUGCCCACUCUUGAAUGGGACAAGAAAGACAGGGCUUACAGCUCUCUUAAGCACCAGUGGUUCCUGAAAAGGAGUGAAGAGGCUAAUUAGGAGCCCAUGUCUGCCCACCAUCCUGGCUUUGCUUAAGGUGACUGCAGUAGUACCCUGCCACCUUCCCAUAGGCUAGUGUUUUCUAAACUUAAAAGGAGAAUUACAUCAGCAACUUAAGCAGGAGGACACAGGGCUCUGGUACUUUAAAAGAUGAAGGAGGAGCUGCUGGGGCCAGUGGGUCUCAACUUGCCUGCCCUGUGCUUCUUCAAAGAGCCCCUCACACUUGCCAGCGACACUUAGCUGUGGUAGGUAGGUAGGUAGGUAUCCACAGGGGUUCUGGGGUCUGCGGUGUGAGCAAUGGGACUGCGGGGUUCUGGUCUGAAGCCGGCAGCCCCUCUUGUUGUAUAUUAUGGUCUAGUGUCCCUCUCCCUUGAAGAGAUCCAGGCUGAAGCCUCGAGGAUGACAGCAUAGAGAAGUCAGUUUGUCCUUCCUCAGGGGUCAUCAAGCAAAGCGGACUUUCCCAUUGGAUUCUUUUGACUAAGGAGGACCCUGGGGAUUUUGAAUAAUUUGGGGACGAUCUUCCUGUCUGAAGAACACAUAAGAACCCAAGCAAUGCAUUCUGGCAAUAUGAAUAAGGAGCUGAUGUCAUCAAUUCCACCCUCCCAGGAUGUCCUUAUCUGACCUGCUGUGGAAGCUCCUGGGGGCCCUAACAGUCGUCCUCCAGAGUCUCUCCAAGGCCUCCCACUCCCUGCAGACUCUGCCUUUGGCCCAACGUUUCUCCCUUCCGAUUCCCUCCUUCAGUCCCUCCUACUUCACUGUUCCCUCCCCUCAGCCCUUCCGUUCUUGUCCUCCUGCACUCUGUCACCUGCUUUUAGGAGAGGGUCCCUCCUGAUGAGGGUCUUGACCCACAGCUGUCCUUGCUCCUAGGGCUGUUUCCAUGGAAACCAGAAGCAAAGAGGUCAUUCAAAGGAAAACCCAAGAGCAGACAUCUGUGGAAACAGCCCCCAUCCCUCGGCAGUAGUUUACCAAGAGGGCUGCAUCAGCGAGAUACUGUGAUCUUCCCUAGCUAGGCUGCAGCUGAAAUAAUCAAACUCCAGAGGACAGCAUGGGGGAGAUUUGUGGGGGUGGCGUGGGGUGGGGCUAGGGUGGGGGAGUUGGGAAGAGUCCUCAGCAACCAGUGCAACCCAGAUGGUGUUACAUUGUUAUUCAUUAGAGCCCUUUCCCUUUCUCAAGCUUUAGCUUUGUUAUUUGUCUUUCCAGCGAGAAAGAAGCCGGAGUGUUGGAUCCCAGGAAACAGAAUUCCAAAGACCAAAGUUAGGAGAGGCUGAGGGGGGUCUUACACUCGCCCACAUUCCCAAAGCUCAAGCCCCUCUGACCUUGUGCUUUUAUUAUCUAUUCAAGUGGCAGAAUAGACUUGUCACGUGCCGGGUCCUCUUCCGGUACCACGGAGAAUCAUUUACAAACCACUGUCUACUUUAUGGCCCCUGAGACUCUGUCCUGGGCUGUUGUGUAUGCUCAACGCUCAUUAGGUUCCCCCUAAAAGUCAUGUCUGAGUCAUCUCAAAAUUGUCUACACUCUCUCCUCCCCAACAGGAGUGGGGUGUGCCUUUUUUUUGCACCCCACUAAGCUGGUGGGUGGCCACUCACUUGUGACUUUCUGUGCUCUGGUUUUUCCGUGUUUGCACAUUCACAGAUCUGUAUGCUUUUUCUCCGG
ensembl:antisense